rnacentral:rRNA from 1 species
UGGGGGUUAUUGCACAAUGGGCGAAAGCCUGAUGCAGCGACGCCGCGUGGGGGAUGAAGGCUUUCGGGUUGUAAACCUCUUUCGCUAUGGAACAAGGCACGCUUCGGGUGGGUUGAGGGUAGGUGGAGCAGAAGCGCAGGCUAACUACGUGCCAGCAGCUGCGGUAAUACGUAGGGCGCGAGCGUUGUCCGGAAUUAUUGGGCUUAAAGGGCUUGUAGGCGGCUUGUUGCGCCUGCUGUGAAAACGCGGGGCUUAACUUCGCGCGUGCAGUGGGUACGGGCAGGCUUGAGUGUGGUAGGGGUGACUGGAAUUCCAGGUGUAGCGGUGGAAUGCGCAGAUAUCUGGUGGAACGCCGAUGGCGAAGGCAGGUCACUGGGCCAUUACUGACGCUGAGGAGCGAAAGCAUGGGUAGCGAACAGU